CCAAACAAAAAAAUAGACUUAUGAUAAUUCUAUCGAAGCGUAUACAAAACAAUUGAUUGAUUAAACCUAUAAUUUUGUUAGGUUAAGUUUCUAUUUGCUUUCGAUAUUAAUCAAACCCUUACUUUACCAACCACAUUGAUUUUUCCAAUUACUAUUAAAAAAAAAAAAAAAAAGAGAAUCUUUAAAGUUUUAAAUUUAUUUUUAGAACCACUUUACACAACAAGGUCUUCUAUAAAUAGCUAAACUCCAUAACC
rnacentral:lncRNA from 1 species